AGACAUAGGAACCCUGCAAAAGUCUCAUCUUCCAAGAUUAAAUUGCAAAUGUCUAUUCACAAACUUGUUCAACACCACCCCUAAUCUUACUCCCUCCUUCUCCCCACCCCACCCAAAUUGUAUAGGCAGUUGCUAAUGUGAAUUUAAAAUUCAAUAUGAAUGGCUAGGGGGAAAAAAGGCAUGCCUAUUGGAACUUACUCUGCUCUUAAUCUGGAUUUAGGGACUCAAUUGAAUAGAAGUACAUUAUGCUUGAACAACUGAAGUUUCUAUUAUUUUUAAACCUUUUUUACAGAAAACAACACCAACAGCAUAUUGAAUAUUUUAUUGCACAUUUUCUGCUUAUGGGAAAACUGUUGAUUAGGAAACUGUUGUUAGGAAAACUCUGACAGACGCCAUUGAAAACAUACUGGCUUAUAGUAGUGAAACUUUGAAGCAAACUUUUAAGCUCUGAUUACUCUUAGCCUGGAGACUGCUAGGUACCAAUAUUAAUUGCAGCUUAGUAAAAGAACAGCUUUCAGGUCUGUAAUUCAUCAAAGAGAAUUUUAUUAAGCUCUUGUCCAAAGUCUAGAAAUAUAACUUUCUUCAUGGCAAUAACUGCAGCAAAUGAGAGACUUCGAAUGGAAUAUCAAAUGGCUACAUCUCUAUGCACCAGAGAAACGAUCUCAUUAACAAAGUAGUUCUGUGUGUCCUUAAUACUGAGGCCCUAGACUGCAGCUGCAGGCAGUUCUCUACUCAGCCCGCAGUGCCGAGUGACACAGACAGGCGACAUCAUCUGAGUACUAACUUCUACUACAUCCAGACAGACUGCGAGAACCAUUUCCAAAUCGUGGGAAGACGUUAGAGAACCAAAGGGGUGGCUGCAAAGUUUUGGACAAGACCUCUACAGGCAACUGGAAGCACAGUGUACCCAGGUGGUGGGGCUCGUCUGUGGCAAUAUAUUUUCCAGUCUGUCCAAUUGAAUAUGGCUGUAAGGGGAAUAAAACCCCAUGUAAUCUCCAGCAGUGACAAUUUAAUCAGUUGUGUAAGGGGAAGAAGCAGAGUCCCCUCAUUUUCAUAUUUGCAUAUUUGAUUUUUGCAUUGGGGAAUAGAGGUUAUGUGUUUCUAUUACUUUCCAUUUGAUUUUAAUAUUUAACCCUUUUAGGAGCAAAUUUCUUCCAAUGAUAGGAAAUAUUGAGUCAAGCUGGUCAAAAAAUAAGAUUUCUGUUUUCAAAUAAAGCUCUGGAUGCAGCAUGUCCUGUGUAACAUUUUUUCCUACAAAGAAUCUAUGUGCCGAACAUGGCUUGUGUGUUCCCAGCUUCUGCACAUUAUGCAUCCCCUCUUAACAUUCAGAGAUCCACCCUGAAAAUGAAGGCAACUAUUUGGAGAACAAUACAAAAUGAUGAGGUAGUCUUAUACCUAUACCAUAGUAUGUCCCCUUUUUUGUAUUUGCAUUUUUUAAAAUGGUAAGUCUUAAUAACUGCUGCUAUUCCUGAGAAAGUAGGGUUUCUAAAAUACCUUAUAUAUACAGGAAUCCCUUCUUAUGAGGUUAUAGAAAGGCAAUAGAUACAGUUAAAUUAGUAAAAUUCCAUUGUUUUAAAACUCUGUUUUACAACUGACAGAAUGAUGUUAUUAUCCAUAAUAUGGUAACAGAUUAGGGAAUAGAUUUUAAAAUAAAUAAGAUGCAGGUAAUUCAAAGUCAUCAUCAAUUACCCUUGUGUGACUCCCUUGAGUAUAUUAAAAAUCCACUCAAAAUGGUUUUGGAUUUGAAUUGCUGGAACAUAGAUAGCUGUUUUUUCUUUUUUCUUUUUUAAUGCAUCAAUUCAUGUAAACCUCCGAUUGUGAAAGCUCCAGAAGUA
ensembl:lncRNA